GGUUCCAUAGUGUAAUGGUUAUCACAUCUAUUUCACAUGCAGAAGGUCCUGGUUUCAAUCCCCAGUGGAAUCA